AAACACCUAAUAAGAGUAAAGGCAAAGAGUUCCUGAAUAUAUCACAUGUGGUGAUAAACAUGAAGAUGUAUGAAAAAUUGUGUUCGUUGAGAGAAAAUGGAAGGCUUUUCAUUCUACUUCCACAUUUUCAUUCCAGCAGCUUUUCUGUUUUGGAAGAUGAGUACUGAAUCUUGCAAUGAAAUUUUUUUAACUUAAACAAGACAAGGAAAAUGAAGCGCAGAGACGUUAAAUAACUCUCUCAAGGUCAUGCAGCUGAGAAGAGAUGAGACUUGAACUCCAGUGCCAGCCCUGUUAAUCACUAUUCUGUACUGUCUUUCAGAUGGAAUGAUAGGGUAUGCAUAAAUGUUCAUGUGGGCUCUGGAGUAUACCAGGAACUGAAGUAAGGUACAUGGACGUCUUGAAUAUUGUAACUGAGAUGGGCAAGCCUACACCUUUGCAAAUAAAGGAGGAUUGGGAAAGAUUAAGAUCCUGUUAAACGUCAGUGUUACUAUUUAGCCUUUGAUAUCUCCAGUAAAGGCAACUUCUUUCUGGACCCAGAAAUAAAGCUUUACAUUAGCAGCUUCCAUAACACCAAUAACAUGAAUGACCAUCUACUGAGCAAUUGCAGUGCACCAGGAUUAUGGCUUAUGAGCACUUUAUGUUUAUUAUCUCACAACUCACUGAGUUAGAUACUCUCCACAACCCAGUGAGCCUCUCAAGCACUGUGAAAAAUC
rnacentral:lncRNA from 10 species